rnacentral:lncRNA from 10 species
AUUUUUUAAUUUUUAUAUUUGUUUGUAGAGAUGGGGGUCUCCCUGUGUUGCCCAGGCUGGUCCUGAACUCCUGAGCUCAAGCAAUCCUCUGGCCUCAGCCUCCCAAAGAGUUGGGAUUACAGGUAUGAGUCACUGUGCCUGGCCCCAGACUUCUGCCCCACAUCCACAUGUGGCCUUGUCAUGUGGCCACGCCUAGCUGCAAAGAAAGCUGGGAAAUGUAAUACUUAAUUGGGCAGCUCUGUGCUUCCUUUUAGUCACAUCCCCCCUGCAGUGGCGCAAUCUCGGCUCACUGCAAGCUCCGCUUCCCGGGUUCACGCCAUUCUCCUGCCUCAGCCUCCCGAGUAGCUGGGACUACAGGCACCCGCCACCGCGCCCGGCUAAUUUUUUGUAUUUUUAGUAGAGACGGGGUUUCACCUUGUUAGCCAGGAUGGUCUCGAUCUCCUGACCUCAUGAUCCACCCGCCUCGGCCUCCCAAAGUGCUGGGAUUACAGGCGUGAGCCACCGCGCCCGGCCGCCUCCUGUUUUUUUUUUGAGACGAGUCUCGCUCUGUUGCCCAGGCUGGAGUGCAGUGGCGCGAUCUUGGCUCACUGCAAGCUCCGCCUCUCAGGUUCAAGCCAUUCUCCUGCCUCAGCCUCCCGAGUAGAUGGGACUACAGGCGCCCACCACCACGCCCGGCUAAUUUCUUUUUUUCAUUUUUAGUAGAGAUGGGGUUUCUCCAUGUUAGCCAGGAUGGUCUCGAUCUCCAGACCUCAUGAUCCACCCGCCUCGGCCUCCCAAAGUGCUGGGAUUACAGGCGUGAGCCACCACGCCCAGCCAGCCUCCUGUUAUUUAUACUUACUCUUCACUCUGUUUUGAAUAUCUCUUUUACUCCAAUGCUGAUGAGUUCCUGUCACCUGGAUUCCAGGACUUGCCUCAGAUCCUAGCCUUCCAGAAGCCUAGUUUCAGCCUUUUUUUUUUUUGAGACGGAGUCUCACUCUGUCGCCCAGGCUGGAAUGCAAUGGUGUGAUCUCGGCUCAUUGCAACCUCUGCCUCCCAGGUUUAAGCAAUCCUCCUGCCUCAGCCUCCCUAGUAGCUGGGAUUACAGGCGUGCACCACCACGCCCAGCUAAUUUUUGUAUUUUUAGUAGAGACAGCGUUUCGCCAUAUUGGCCAGGCUGGUCUCAAACUCCUGACCUCAGGUGAUCCGCCCAUCUUGGCUUCCCAAAGUGCUGGGAUUACAGGGAUGAGCCACCACACAAGGCCUCCAGCCUUUCUUUUGAGUCAAUAAGCUACACCAUAUUCUACCAAUAUUUUUACUUGAGUCAGCAGUGGUUUCCUACACCUGCAACUCAAGAACUCUAAGGGUUACUGCCUCCAUUGUUUGUUAAGGCACCACAAGACUUUGCUGAACUGUACAUAAUGCUUUAGGUCAAUAAGUGAUAUUAGCUCACUACAACCUCUGGCUCUUGAGCUCAAGCCAUCCUCCUGCCUCAGCCUCCCGAGUAGCUGGGACUAUAGGCACGUGCCACCAUGCCCCGCUAAUUUUUUUUUUUUUUUAAGUAGAGACGAGGUCUUGCUAUGUUGCCCAGGCUGGUGUCGAACUCCUGGGCUCAAGCUGGGCUCAAGCUAUCCUCCUGUCUCAGCCUCCCAGUGAGCACUAUAUUAGUUAGCACAUAGAUUCUGUACAAAGAUCAAGAGAGAACAGUCUACUUUAUUUCCCAUUUAGUAGUCCAUCUAUAAGGGGUUGAGAGCUAUUUGGGUGGCUUCCUGUUCUCUGGCUGGGCCCCAGGCUCCUCCUAUCUUGUUGCUCAGUGUCCUCAACACAUGGCUUCCACCUUAGGGACCAAGAGAGUCACUCCAGCUCCUGCAGGAAAGAAAGGAAGAGAGAGGGAGGGCACUCUCUUUUCCAUUUAUGGUCUUGGUCCAGGAAGUUGCCUGCAUUACUUCUGUUCCCAUCCCAUUGGCCAGAACCUUGUCAUGUGGCCACGCCUAGUUGCAAAGAAAGCUGGGAAAUGUAUUAUUUAAUUGGGCAGCUCUGUGCUUCCUUUUAGUCACAUCCCCCAAGGGCAACGCUAUCUUGAUUACUCACCAUGACAUGCGUUUUACAUUUACACAAAUAGCCUCCUGUUACAGAGUUCUUUGGUUUUUGUUUUCACUCUGUUUUGAAGAUCUCAACACGGGUCUCUGUAAAUAUCUAGUCCAUUUCUUCGGCUUCCCCAUCUUCUGUGCAUUCACCACAUUUUACCAAAGUACUCUCCUAGCAAUGGCCCCCAUAUGGCCGCCUCCACACACAUCACUGCCUCUUCUCCCCAGGAAGGAGAUGCCGGGGCAUAGGCUAUGUGGGUGCAAAACACUGCCAGGUUGCUCUCCCACAUAGCAGCUGCCAGCCCACACUCCUGCCAGGUGCAUGUGGGGGUUCUAUAGUCCCAUAAAAGGUAUUUUAUUCAUUUUUGUCAUGUCUAUAGUUGGACAUCUGUUGUUUUUUGCAUGGCCAGCAUCCAUUCUUCUUUUUUUGGUCACUGUGCCCUAGCAUUCUUUUGGGAAACUACCUUUUCCGUCAUUCUCAAUCCACGUGAUUCAGAUGGGACUGAAUCUCUUACUUACUGGUGUGACCAGGUGAUGACACACUGGCCAACAACCAUCUAGCACCUCCCAAUCAAUCCAGUGAAGGCAUGUGACUCAAACUGAAUCAAAUUAGAGCCAGGUCAGGACUCUCACUGGAACUGUUGGGAAAAGGGCUUUCCCUUUCUCUGUGGGUGGUUAAGCUAGAGUGGGUAGAGGCCAAGACUGCUAUGAUCUCAGGGUAGAAGCUACCUGAGGGUGAAGCAGGCCUCCACAGAAGAAAGUAUAGCUGAGAGAUGAAGAGUGAGGGUAAUUCUCAUACUGUGAGAACCAACCAUGCCUGAAGGCGACUUGCACUAGAGCUUUUAUAAGUUACAUAAGUUUCAUAGAGUUACAUAAGCCAAUAAAUUCCUUAUUUAUUUAUUGAGACAGAGUCUCAUUCUGUCGUUUACACUGGAGUGCAGUGGUACAAUCUCAGCUCACUGCAACUUCUGCCUCCCAGGUUCAAGUGAUUCUCCUACCUCAGCCUCCCAAGUAGCUGGGAUUACAGGUGUGUACCACCAUGUCCAGAUAAUUUUUUUAUUUUCAGUAGAGACGGGGUUUCGCCACGUUGGCCAGGCUGGUCUCACACUCCUGGCCUCAAGUGAUCCACCUGCCUCGGCCUCCCAAAGUGCUGGAUCACAGGCGUGAGCCACCAUACCCAGCCAAAUUCUUUUUUACACAAGCCAAUUUGAGUUGGGCUUAGGUCACUCAAAAGAAGUCAGACUAACCCCACCCAUCCUGGUGCUAGGCAUACAGUAGGUCAUAGGACAAAUGUUUGUUUUUUCUUUUUUUGGUAAAGAAAGGCAGACUUAUUAGAGAAAGUAUGAAGAUACACUGCAUGAAAGCAAAGGGCAGCACAGCAGAGAAGGGGCUGUCUGCAAAUGUUUGUUGAAUGAAUGAAUGAGCCCAUGUGUGGGAAUAAAUGAGACAUGACAGACAGCUACCCAGUGAUGUGUAAAUAUCCACAGUGAGUUAUCCAGGAGUUCAGGUGAGGAGCACAGGCUUACUUAUUUUGCUAAAUAUGAAUUCUAAGGCUAAACAAGACACAUGUGAGCUCAUUCACUCAUUGCACUCCAGUUUUGUUCCUUUUGCUUUCAGAUAAUCAGAUCACGACAGGCGCCGGCCAUCACACCUGGCUUAUUCUUGUAUUUUUAGUAGAGAUAAGGUUUCAUCAUGUUGGCCAGGCUGGUCUCGAACUCCUGACCUUAGGUGAUCUGCCUGCCUCGGCCUCCCUAAAGUGUUAGGAUUACAGGUGUGAGCCACCACGCCUGGCUCUAAAAGGGUAUCUUUUUUUUUUGAGGUGGAGUUUUGCUGUUGUCACCCAGGCUGGAGUGCAAUGGCAUGAUUUCAGCUCACUGCAACUUCCACCUGCCAGGUUCAAGUGAUUCUCCUGCCUCAGCCUCUCGAGUAGCUGGAACUACAGGCACACGCCACCACGCCUGGCUAAUUUUUGUGUUUUUAGUAGAGACAAGGUUUCAAUGUGUUGGCCAGGCUGAUCUUGAACU